CCUACGGGUGGCAGCAGUGGGGAAUAUUGCACAAUGGGGGAAACCCUGAUGUAGCGACGCCGCGUGAGCGAUGAAGGAUUUCGGUAUGGAAAGCUCUAUCUGCAGGGAAGAAGAUUACGGUACCUGACUAAGAAGCCCCGGCUAACUACGUUCCAGCAGCCGCGGUAAUACGUAGGGGGCAAGCGUUAUCCGGAUUUACUGGGUGUAAAGGGGGCGUAGAGGGCGAUGCAAGCCAGAUGUGAAAGUCCGCGGCUCAACCCCGGGACUGCAUUUGGAACUGUGUGGCUGGAGUGUAGGAGAGGCAGGCGGAAGUCCUAGUGUAGCGGUGAAAUGCGUAGAUAUUAGGAGGAACACCAGUGGCGAAGGCGGCCUACUAGACGAUGACUGACGUUGAGGCUCGAAAGCGUGGGGAGCAAACAGGAUUAGAUACCCUUGUAGUC
rnacentral:rRNA from 1 species